rnacentral:tRNA from 1 species
GCUCUUGUAGCUCAGCUGGUUAGAGCGUUGUGCUUAUAGUCUUCAACUAUACCUGAGGCACGCAAAGGUCGCGAGUUCGAUCCUCGCCUAGAGCA